rnacentral:rRNA from 1 species
CGGGGAAUUUUGGACAACGGGGGAAACCCUGAUCUAGCCAUCCAGCGUGUGCGAUGAAGGCCUUCGGUUUGUAAAGUACUUUUGGCAGGAAAGAAACGUCAUGGGUUAAUACCCCGUGAAACUGACGUUACCUGCAGAAUAAGCACCGGCUCACUACGUGCCAGCAGCCGCGGCAAUACGUAGGGUGCAAGCGUUAAUCGGAAUUACUGAGCGUAAAGCGUGCGCAGUCGGUUCGGAAAGAAAGAUGUGAAAUCCAAGAGCUCAACUUUGGAACUGCAUUUUGAACUGCCGGGCUAGGGUGUGUCAGAGGGAGGUGGAAUUCCGCGUGUAGCAGUGAAAUGCGUAGAUAUGCGGAGGAACACCGAUGGCGAGGGCAGCCUCCUGGGAUAACUCUGACGCUCAUGCACGAGAGCGUGGGGAGCAAACAGG